rnacentral:rRNA from 1 species
UUGUUGGUGGGGUAAUGGCCUACCAAGGCUGCGAUGGGUAGCCGGCCUGAGAGGGUGAUCGGCCACAUUGGGACUGAGAUACGGCCCAGACUCCUACGGGAGGCAGCAGUUAAGAAUCUUGCGCAAUGGGCGAAAGCCUGACGCAGCGACGCCGCGUGGACGAUGAAGGCCUUCGGGUUGUAAAGUCCAAUAAGUAGGGAAGAAUAAGCAAGUGGUAAUAUUUCUUGUGAUGACGGUACCUACCUAAAGCCCCGGCUAACUACGUGCCAGCAGCCGCGGUAAUACGUAUGGGGCGAGCGUUGUUCGGAAUUAUUGGGCAUAAAGGGCGUCUAGGCGGGGGAUUAAGUUAGGUGUGAAAAGCCAUAGGCUCAACCUGUGAAUUGCACCUAAAACUGGUUCUCUUGAGUUCGGGGAGAGGAGAGCGGAAUUCCUGGUGUAGCGGUGAAAUGCGUAGAUAUCAGGAAGAACACCAGUGGCGAAAGGCGGCUCUCUGGGCCUAGAACUGACGCUGAAAGCGCGAAAGCGUGGGGAGCGAACGGGGAUUAGAUACCCCGGUAGUCCACGCCGUAAACGUUGUGUACUAGGUGUUAGUGAUUUAAUCACUAGUGCCGACGCUAACGCAUUAAGUACACCGCCUGGGGAGUACGCCCGCAAGGGUGAAACUCAAAGAAAUUGACGGGGGCCCGCACAAGCGGUGGAGCAUGUGGUUUAAUUCGAUGAUACGCGAAGAACCUUACCAGGGCUUGAACUGUUUCUGACAGGUGCCGAGAUGCACCCUCCUUCGGGCAGAUUCAGAGGUGCUGCAUGGUUGUCGUCAGCUCGUGUCGUGAGAUGUUGGGUUAAGUCCCGCAACGAGCGCAACCCUUACUCCUUGUUGCUAUCAGGUAAUGCUGGGCACUCUAGGGGAACUGCCGGUGAUAAACCGGAGGAAGGUGGGGAUGACGUCAAAUCAGCACGGCCCUUAUGUCCUGGGCUACACACGUGCUACAAUGGCCGGUACAAUGAGUUGCGAUACCGCGAGGUGGAGCUAAUCUCAAAAAACCGGUCUCAGUUCGGAUUGUAGUCUGCAACUCGACUACAUGAAGCUGGAAUCGCUAGUAAUCGGAGAUCAGCACGCUCCGGUGAAUACGUUCCCGGGCCUUGUACACACCGCCCGUCACACCAUCCGAGUUGGCAGCACCCGAAGUGGCUGAGCUAACCGUUUACGGAGGCAGGUUACUAAGGUGAAGCUGGUAAGGAGGGUG